rnacentral:rRNA from 1 species
AAGAUGGCGGCCGGCGCACGGGUGAGUAACACGUAUCCAACCUGCCGAUAACUCCGGAAUAGCCUUUCGAAAGAAAGAUUAAUACCGGAUGGCAUACGAAUAUCGCAUGAUAUUUUUAUUAAAGAAUUUCGGUUAUCGAUGGGGAUGCGUUCCAUUAGUUUGUUGGCGGGGUAACGGCCCACCAAGACUACGAUGGAUAGGGGUUCUGAGAGGAAGGUCCCCCACAUUGGAACUGAGACACGGUCCAA